GGGGUAGGCUAUAGGGCAUGGUUAGGGAACAGAGCCCUAUGGGGUAGGCUAUAGGGCAUGGUUAGGGAACAGAGCCCUAUGGGGUAGGCUAUAGGACAUGGUUAGGGAACAGAGCCCUAUGGGGUAGGCUAUAGGGCAUGGUUAGGGAACAGAGCUCUAUAGGGUAGGCUAUAGGGCAUGGUUAGGUAACAGAGCCCUAUGGGGUAGAAAACAGAGCCCUAUGGGGUAGGCUAUAGGGCAUGGUUAGGGAACAGAGCCCUAUGGGGUAGGCUAUAGGACAUGGUUAGGGAACAGAGCCCUAUGGGGUAGGCUAUAGGGCAUGGUUAGAGAACAGAGCUCUAUGGGGUAGAAAACAGAGCCCUAUAGGGUAGGCUAUAGGGCAUGGCUAGAGAACAGAGCCCUAUGGGGUAGGCUAUAGGGCAUGGUUAGGGAACAGAGCCCUAUGGGGUAGGCUAUAGGGCAUGGUUAGAGAACAGAGCCCUAUAGGGUAGGCUAUAGGGCAUGGUUAGGGUACAGAGCCCUAUGGGGUAGGCUAUAGGGCAUGGUUAGGGAACAGAGCUCUAUGGGGUAGGCUAUAGGGCAUGGUUAGGGAACAGAGCUCUAUGGGGUAGGCUAUAGGGCAUGGUUAGGGAACAGAGCUCUAUGGGGUAGGUUAUAGGGCAUAGUUAGGGAACAGAGCCCUAUGGGGUAGGCUAUAGGGCAUGGUUAGGGAACAGAGCCCUAUGGGGUAGGCUAUAGGGCAUAGUUAGGGAACAGAGCCCUAUGGGGUAGGCUAUAGGGCAUGGUUAGGGAAUAUCUUUCCUAUCUGUUGUUACUGAAAGGCUUAUGGGAUGCGUCUGAAAUGGCACUCUAAUUCCCUUUACAGCACGAUACUCCUGACCGGAGCCUCACAAGCUCUGGUCUAAGACUUACCCCAUAUGGCUCUGUACAAAAUGAGGGCACUACCGAGACAAUACAGGGGCCAUUUGGGACACAGCCCAGGACAACAGUUGGUAAUGAUGGAGAGACAGACAGCAGGAAGUCCCCCUGGUGUUUAUUAAAGGUCAUGUUGGUAAUGAUGGAGAGACAGACAGCAGGAAGUCCCCUGGUGUUUAUUAAAGGUCAUGUUGGUAAUGAUGGAGAGACAGACAGCAGGAAGUCCCCCUGGUGUUUAUUAAAGGUCAUGUUGGUAAUGAUGGAGAGACAGACAGCAGGAAGUCCCCCUGGUGUUUAUUAAAGGUCAUGUUGGUAAUGAUGGAGAGACAGACAGCAGGAAGUCUGGUGUUUAUUAAAGGUCAUGUUGGUAAUGAUGGAGAGACAGACAGCAGGAAGUCCCCCUGGUGUUUAUUAAAGGUCAUGUUGGUAAUGAUGGAGAGACAGACAGCAGGAAGUCCCCUGGUGUUUAUUAAAGGUCAUGUUGGUAAUGAUGGAGAGACAGACAGCAGGAAGUCUGGUGUUUAUUAAAGGUCAUGUUGGUAAUGAUGGAGAGACAGACAGCAGGAAGUCCCCUGGUGUUUAUUAAAGGUCAUGUUGGUAAUGAUGGAGAGACAGACAGCAGGAAGUCCCCCUGGUGUUUAUUAAAGGUCAUGUUGGUAAUGAUGGAGAGACAGACAGCAGGAAGUCCCCCUGGUGUUUAUUAAAGGUCAUGUUGGUAAUGAUGGAGAGACAGACAGCAGGAAGUCUGGUGUUUAUUAAAGGUCAUGUUGGUAAUGAUGGAGAGACAGACAGCAGGAAGUCCCCUGGUGUUUAUUAAAGGUCAUGUUGGUAAUGAUGGAGAGACAGACAGCAGGAAGUCCCCUGGUGUUUAUUAAAGGUCAUGUUGGUAAUGAUGGAGAGACAGACAGCAGGAAGUCUGGUGUUUAUUAAAGGUCAUGUUGGUAAUGAUGGAGAGACAGACAGCAGGAAGUCCCCCUGGUGUUUAUUAAAGGUCAUGUUGGUAAUGAUGGAGAGACAGACAGCAGGAAGUCUGGUGUUUAUUAAAGGUCAUGUUGGUAAUGAUGGAGAGACAGACAGCAGGAAGUCCCCCUGGUGUUUAUUAAAGGUCAUGUUGGUAAUGAUGGAGAGACAGACAGCAGGAAGUCCCCCUGGUGUUUAUUAAAGGUCAUGUUGGUAAUGAUGGAGAGACAGACAGCAGGAAGUCUGGUGUUUAUUAAAGGUCAUGUUGGUAAUGAUGGAGAGACAGACAGCAGGAAGUCCCCUGGUGUUUAUUAAAGGUCAUGUUGGUAAUGAUGGAGAGACAGACAGCAGGAAGUCCCCUGGUGUUUAUUAAAGGUCAUGUUGUUAAAGGGGAACUGACAACAUUUUAGCAACAUUAAAUCUUAUUAAAAUCUGUUCAUAUUCACCCCCA